GACGAACGCUGGCGGCGUGCUUAACACAUGCAAGUCGAACGGUGAAGCGCCUUCCUUUUUGGUGGGUGUGGAUGAGUGGCGAACGGGUGAGUAACACGUGAGUAACCUGCCCCCUUCUUCUGGAUAACCGCAUGAAAGUGUGGCUAAUACGGGAUAUUCUGGGUCUGUCGCAUGAUGGGUCUGGGAAAGAUAUUAUUUCGGUGGGGGAUGGGCUCGCGGCCUAUCAGCUUGUUGGUGGGGUGAUGGCCUACCAAGGCGGUGACGGGUAGCCGGCCUGAGAGGGUGGACGGUCACACUGGGACUGAGACACGGCCCAGACUCCUACGGGAGGCAGCAGUGGGGAAUAUUGCGCAAUGGGCGCAAGCCUGAUGCAGCGACGCCGCGUGAGGGAUGGAGGCCUUCGGGUUGUGAACCUCUUUCGCCAGUGAAGCAGGCCUGCCUCGUUUGUGGGUGGGUUGACGGUAGCUGGAUAAGAAGCGCCGGCUAACUACGUG
rnacentral:rRNA from 1 species